GGAUUAAAAUAGGCAGAAAUCUCAGCUCGAUGGACCCUUGGACACCUCUCAAGUUCCCAUGCAGAGGGAAGGCUGGCCACUGGAUGUCUGCAGUUACCCACCUGAGAGCUCCCCAAUACCCUGGUCAUACCCAGGAGAGAGUGAAUGGCCCACAGCUCGACAGCGAGUCAGCAGCACUUCAGCAGGGGUCUGCUAACCAGGUGGAUCUGCAGAAGACUCCUCUCCUUUCACACCGCCACAGCCGGGUUAUUUCAUAAUUGGCUACUAUGGGAUUAAUUGCGCCUUCCUCCUAAGCAUCUGGCACUGGCCACUGUCUGAGGCUGGAUAAUGGACGAGGUGGACCACCGGUCUGAUCCUGCCUGGCAAUUCCUCGGUGCUUAAAUGUUUAACCUUGUUUGCAAAUAUCUGUUAAAACAUGGGAUCUCUUCAUCACCAUCCUAAGACAGAGGUGCAUACACGCACGCUGGAAAUGACUCAUCCUGCAAUUGUUUGUGUCUCAUUUACAUGCAGAAAGCUCAGCUUGCCAGUCCCGAGCUGAGACAGCGCUGACGAACUUACGCAGGCAAAGAGAGAUCUUUGUGAUGACACCUGGUCACUGUAAGGCUCUCUGAUGCUCCAGGGAGAGGGCAGUAUAAACAGAGUGGGAAUUAUAGCUCCAGCAGCUGAAGCCACACACAUCCCAGGAUGUCGCAAGCCGGCUCUGAUCUACGCACGACGACUGAGAAACGUGAGCCAACAGGAAGACAAUGAAGAGGGUUUGUGGCACAGGAAAUCAUAAUGCUGCUCUUGGCUUCCAGUGGGCCCCGCUUUCUUGGCAGAAUGUACUGGACUCUAGAUCCUGCCGACCAGGGUAUGUGUGUGUCCACAGUUACACGCUGUAGGCUGCACCGAAAGCAAUGGGAGUGGAAAACAGACGGAAACUCACCAUGAAACGAAGUUUACAAGAUUGAGACAUUCAAAUACUAAGCUUCCAGUGAGCAAGAGGAAGGUCGGAUAUGUGCUAAAGGUACUAGACUCGGACUCAGGAGAUCUGGGUUCCCUUCCCAGACUUCCUGUGUGACCUGGGCCAAGUCACUUGUGGGCUGGUUAUUUACAGGUGAGAAAUGCCCACAACUCCAAUGAAGUCAACGAGCCCUGUGGGUGCUUGGAAAAUCAGGCCCUUUAUCUCACUCUCUGGCUCAGUUCCCCCUCUAUAGAGUGGUGAUAAUAGUACUGCCUUUGUCUGUCUUGUCUAUUUAGGCCCUAAUUCAGUAAAGCAUCCCUAUUCAGGAUAGCACUUAAGUAUGCACCUAACCUUAACCACGUGCUUAAGUGUUAUCUUGAAUUGGGGCCUUUGAUUGUAAUCUCGCUGGGCUGGGGACUGUCUCUUUGUAUGUGUACAUAUAUGCACAAUUCAUAGUAGCAUGGGCCCUAAUUUCGGUUGGACCUCUAGGUCUGUGGUUCCCAACCAGUGGGCUGGGGCCCACUGGGGGGCCGCAAGCAGGGUUUUUUUUGGGGGGGGGUACCAAGCAGGGCUGGCAUUAGACCUGCAGGGGCCCAGGGUAGAAAGCCAAAGCCCCAUCACCUGGGGCUGACACCUGGGGCUCCAAGUCCCACUACCUGGGGCUGAAGCUGAAACCUGAGCAACUUAGCUUUGCAAGGCCCCCUGUGGCUGUGGAGUUUUUAUAGCAUGUUGCGGGGGCCUCAGAAAGAAAAAGAUUGAGAACCUCUGCUCUAGGUAAUAGGAACCCUACCCAAUAUUUAUAAUUGACAGCUGUAAUAUUUGUUUUUCCCUAUUUGAGAUAAAUAUCAUCAACAGUCACCUAAUUCCUAUGACUUAUUUUUAACAGAUACAUUUUUUCCCUUUCAGAUGUGUGGAUUUUCUCAGCACUAUAAAUCAAACUAAUAGGUGAUAUAUGGGCCUAAUUCUAUUUCUAUUGAAGUCUAUGGAAUUUUUUCCUUUGACGUCAAUGAGAGCAGGAUUGAUUUCUAUGUAUGUUCCAUUUGUUGCUGAGAUUUUAAGAAUGAAUUUUCUUUUUUCCAUUGCCAAAGACAGAUAACGGCAGUAGAGGUAGAGGAGUCAUCUAAUAACCACAUAUUAAUACAUGAAUCAUCACCUUAGAACCCAACUCAGUAAAAGACUGAAAGGAAAAUAACUGAACUUGAUAUUUUGGCUGUCUGAAGUAAAGGAUUUUCCAAAUAACGCACAGCAAAAUCUGUAAAAACAAGAUAAUAAUUGCAGAAUAAAUUUUCACUUUAGCUUUGGGAUCACACACAUCCUUUAAAUGCUGUUUAAAUGCAUUAUUAUACUUAGGGCUCUACUUGAAAACCCCUUUGUGCUUUGCUGAAACCCGAGCAGAGAAAAUCUGUUAAAACUUUCACUUUUAGGCAUACCUAAUCACCUUCUGACAUAGAAUUCUCAUUCAGUAUUUUAAAGUGAAAUAGCCACAAUGGAAGAUAGUCCAAAUAAAUCCAAGAAAUCUAAAUAAAAUAUUUCCAUUCUAAAUUAAGACUCUUCCAUUUAUGGAAGGUAAAAAAUCUGACUUUUCUCCGGUUCUGCUUAUUCUUCAUGGUAUUUUUGAUAUUGCCUGAAUAAAAAAAGUAUAUCCCCAAAGGCACAAUUGUGACUGAAUACCAAAGCCCCAAUUCACAUAGCAGGGUGUGAGACUGGGGAUUCAUUUAUCCUGUUCCUGCUGAGGAAUCCAGUAGUUUUCCAGUGAUGAAGUUGGUGACAAAGCACUGCAAUCAACAGCAGUCCUUGGUGUUGCCUACAGCCUUGGUGAUAUGUGCCUUUAAACUUGAGGGUGGCCCAAGCCACAUAACCUGAAUCCAGGUUUUUGAACCUGCCUCAACCUCAGAGUUAUUUGGAUUUGGGGCGCUGUUUCCAAAGAUAAGAGCAUGGAAGGACCCAGCAAUGAUGGUAGAGGACCUUGAAAAGUUGUGCGGUCAUUUAAACAAGAGUUUAACAGUAGAAACCCUAUUUUAUUAAUCUAAAUGAGGAUUGAGAGAUUCAUAAAAUUGAACAUCUCAAAACUAGAGUAGGUACAGUGCAUAGGCUGUAGUUUGGUGCACUGUAUUGCCUCCUUGCCCUUCAAACCCCACUGCACAGUGAUUUCCAAACCACUGAAGGCAUGAGGAUGGGAAGAACUGUUGACUUGUUUUUCGUCAACAUCACUUUUGUGAUGUGGGGUUUUUUCAGGUGGGAAAACUAGUUUGUAUAACUGGUCAUUUAUAAGAUUUAAAUGUUUGUAAAAUCAAGGCUCUACAGUAUCUAUUUCCUUGAGGACUUCCGUAGCAAGCGCCAAGGAUAACCUCAACAUUUUGUCACAGUAGAUGCUGUAGUGCUAACAACUGCCCACAAAAGAAACAACUGGAUAAAGAACUGCGAAAUGUGUAUGCUAGAGAUCUGGCCCAGGCAGACUGUCUGUUGGGAGGAUACCACGGGGCACAAUGCGUGCCUGCGCUGUGGAUUGUGUGCUGAACAGGCAUGGCUGGACUACAUUGGAAGAAUGCUGACUUAGGAGGAGCUGAGGCAUCUCUAAGAAAUUUAUUUCUCCUUUGUAUUUAGGUGUAAAUGUAGUGGUUUUUCUACUUAAGGAAAGGGUUGAAACAGAUUGUGAAAUUGCCUUGGUUCUUGUAAACUUUUCAAACCUUUAUGAUAAUCUAUUUAAGAUUAGUUGAUCAAGCUAAAUGUUGCAUUUUGCACAGUUCUGUGCUUCAUUCCCCUUCUGUGUGUUGUAUUGAACUGAUACUGGCUUUUGAUUGUCUAACCAAAUAGGCUGAAGUUCUUUAAAGCAAGGACAUUUGCCUUCUAUGUGCUGAGUUUUUGAAACACUCUGCUUGGGAGUAAUAUUCCAUUAGCUCCAUUUGGCCUAUUCUGCUACCCUUACUUUAAGAAGUAAUUGUGGCAUUAAGUACACCAAUGUGCCCAACGAUAAAAGAACUGGGCCUUUAAAUUUAAAGUUUUCUUUUUUAUUGUUUUAUUUUAAUGUGGGGAAACUGACAAUUUAUAUUGAACUAUAUUCCCUGUACAGCACUUUGAGAAGUUCUAAUACAAAAGGUGCUAAAUAUAAGAAAUGUAUUGUAUAUGACCUAUUACAUCUGGCAUAGGAAUGUAAAUGCAUCACUAUGGUUUUGAAUUCAUUUGCAACUGUGAAUUUCUGAAAGUGACUUGCUGUGAUGACUAUGGUUAUAGGUACCUAUUGUGUUCUUU